rnacentral:lncRNA from 1 species
AUGAAGGCUGCUUGGUCUAAAGUGGAGGAGUCUUACCCUCAAAUCACAUCCAUUGGCUAUGCUGCUCAUGCAUUGAAUCUGAUCCUCAAGGACAUCAUGGCACUGAAAACAAUGGAUACACUCUACAAGAUAGCCAAGGAAAUGGUUAGGUAUGUGAAGUGUCAUCAAGUUAUAUCAGCAAUCUACCGCACCAAGCAAAGUGAGAAGAAUAAGAGCACCACAUUGAAGCUGCCCAGCAACACCAGUGGGGGUUUUGUUGUCAUCAUGUUUGACAGUCUCCUGGAGGAGAAGGAGUCUCUCCAAGAAAUGGCCAUAUCACAGUCUGCCGAUAUGGACAGCCCCAUCAAGAGGAUCCUCCUGGAUGAUGUAUUUUGGGAGAGAGUGGUAAGCAGCCUAAAACUCCUGAACCCUAUAGCAGUAGCCAUUACACGGAUUGAGGGAGACAAUGCCAUCCUGUCUUAUGUUCAGACUCUGCUUGCAUAUGUAAGAGAAGAAAUCCGUACUGUCCUGCCCACUUCACUGUUGCUCCAAGCAGAGGAAACUGCAGUUCUGAAAUACAUCAAAAAGCGUGAAGACUUCUGCCUGAAGCCCAUACACGCCACAGCGUACAUGUUGUUGGACCCUAAGUAUGCUGGCAAGAACAUCCUGUUUGGUGCAAAGAUCAACAUGGCAUGUGGUGUCACUACUAUCGUGUCUCGCCACCUUGGCCUGGAUGAGGGCAAGGUUUUUGGCAGUCUGGCGAAGUACACUUUCAAGCAAGUAUGGCAGUUGUGCCAACAUAUCUCAUCAGCCACCUGGUGGAAGGGACUUUUUGGAUUUGAGGCUCUUUCCCCUGUUGCCUCCAUCAUCCUCCAAAUCCCACCAACAUCAGCCACCUCAGAGCGCAACUGGUCCUUGUUCGGGAACACACACACCAAAGCACGCAACAGGCUGGCCAAUAAAAGUGUUGAAAAAUUGGUGGCCAUCCGGGCAAAUUUGAGGCUUUUUGAGCCUGACAACGAGCCAUCCUUAACAAGGUUGGAAAGUUACAGUGAAGAUGAGGCCUCAGAUUCUGAUGUUGAAGACGUGGACAUUGAGGAAGUCCAGGGAGAAGACAUGGAAGCCCGAGGGGAAGACACCCAAAGCUUUAGUUUCUUGACAAUCAUUUGUUGCAAACGUUUUUGA